UGGACCAGUGAUGAUGACUGAUGGCAUAUGAGUCAAAUACAACGAAUACUACGUGCCUGGAACUCUGAGGUCCAA